AUGAUGUUUAGUACUCUUAUUUCAAGUGUGUCUUUGGUUUCAAUAAUAUUCACACUACUAGCUUUAAUUGGAGGGUAUCUUUAUGGGCCAUUUUGGAGGUUAAGGAAAGUUCCAGGCCCACCAUCUCUUCCACUUGUAGGACACCUUCUAUUGUUAGCAAAGUAUGGCCCUGAUGUGUUCUCAAUCCUUGCCAAGCAGUAUGGCCCAAUUUUCAGAUUUCAUAUGGGAAGACAACCUCUUAUAAUCAUAGCAGAUGCAGAGCUUUGUAAAGAAGUUUAUUCUUCACAAGAGACUCGCAAUGGUCUACUAUGA